rnacentral:rRNA from 1 species
UACGGAGGGAGCUAGCGUUGUUCGGAAUUACUGGGCGUAAAGCGCGCGUAGGCGGCUUUGUAAGUUAGAGGUGAAAGCCCGGAGCUCAACUCCGGAACUGCCUUUAAAACUGCAUCGCUUGAAUCCAGGAGAGGUGAGUGGAAUUCCGAGUGUAGAGGUGAAAUUCGUAGAUAUUCGGAAGAACGCCAGUGGCGAAGGCGACUCACUGGACAUGUAUUGACGCUGAGGUACGAAAGCGUGGGGAGCAAACAGG